rfam:Strongylocentrotus purpuratus Contig60368_fixed, whole genome shotgun sequence.
AAAAAGGGCUUCUGCCGCUUGUGGCACAUGGGAAGUCCAUAAUGGGCUUCCUGUGCGGAAUCACUAUCAAGAGAUUUCGGAAGCAUAAUAUUUGUGACCUGUGGCUGUUAGUUGUCUCUUGCACUGACGCCCUA